UGCUCGCAUGAGGGAUUGCAGUGGAGCUCUUUUUUGUUCCGUUUUUCUCGGGACAAAAAAAGCGGGAACGGAAAGCCCGACCCAAA
rnacentral:sRNA from 1 species